rnacentral:lncRNA from 1 species
CCUCCAUCAAGUAAAAUAGGAGAGCUACAAAGACUCAUAUAAAGAUCUUCCUUGGUUGCAUAGGCCACAGGAUUCACUGAUCUGGAGAUGAUGUCCUCAUAAUCAGGCGGCAACAAUCUCUCCUAAUCUGUUCUAUUUUCUGUACUUGAAGAAGAUCCAAGUUGAACAUUCCGAUUAUCACGAAUCGGAGUAUUCCACCCUGAUAUACUAGAGGAUAUGGAGCUGAAGCUUGGUUCCCUCGAGGAAUUUAAAGCAAGCUGCUUGAGUUGUUCCUACAGAGAACAACUUACACAAGUCUCUCCCAAUUAUCAUAGAUAUUAGACAUCCAGCUACAAAAUCUCAAAUAAGAGGCUCCCUCUUGAAUUAUUUCGAGUUUAAUUACUGAUUUCUUCACGAUUCGUUAUGCCGAUUUUAAUUCAGACGUGUAGAAAGAAUUGAAGUCUUGGUCCUGCCGUCCAUGGUGAAGCCUAUUAAAUGCUGAAGUGACCCCACUUGCUGCCCUAAUUUUCUUGGUAAGUUCAGUCUUCAGAUUCUAAAUUUUAACUUCAAAUGAAA